rnacentral:ncRNA from 1 species
CCCUUGACCGUUAUGGCAAGGCGCACUCUCUAAGACAUAGAGGGCCGAAGAAUGUUAAACUUCAGUAAUCAAACAACAGAAU